GUUUUUAUAGUGUAAUACCAACAUCUUACUUUUUCAUUGUAAAGCUGAAAUAAUAUUUCUAAAAACA
rnacentral:tRNA from 1 species